rnacentral:pre_miRNA from 9 species
UCUCGAUAGCGUAAAAGUUAACUCAUAUUUGUGUGGAAUGGGAUCGUUUGCCUACAUUCGUCGCUAGGGGCGCUGUUCCGACUGCAUACAAAUUUGAGUUAGCUUUUACGCUAUCGA